rnacentral:rRNA from 1 species
UACGUAGGCAGCAAGCGUUGUUCGGAUUUACUGGGCGUAAAGGGUGCGUAGGCGGCUUCUUAAGUCUGGUGUGAAAUCUCCCGGCUCAACUGGGAGGGUGCGCCGGAUACUGAGGGGCUAGAGUGUGGGAGAGGAAAGUGGAAUUCCUGGUGUAGCGGUGAAAUGCGUAGAUAUCAGGAGGAACAUCGGUGGUGUAAACGGCUUUCUGGACCAUAACUGACGCUGAGGCACGAAAGCGUGGGUAGCAAACAGG